rnacentral:rRNA from 1 species
GACGAACGCUGGCGGCGUGCCUAAUACAUGCAAGUCGAACGAACUCUGGUAUUGAUUGGUGCUUGCAUCAUGAUUUACAUUUGAGUGAGUGGCGAACUGGUGAGUAACACGUGGGAAACCUGCCCAGAAGCGGGGGAUAACACCUGGAAACAGAUGCUAAUACCGCAUAACAACUUGGACCGCAUGGUCCGAGUUUGAAAGAUGGCUUCGGCUAUCACUUUUGGAUGGUCCCGCGGCGUAUUAGCUAGAUGGUGAGGUAACGGCUCACCAUGGCAAUGAUACGUAGCCGACCUGAGAGGGUAAUCGGCCACAUUGGGACUGAGACACGGCCCAAACUCCUACGGGAGGCAGCAGUAGGGAAUCUUCCACAAUGGACGAAAGUCUGAUGGAGCAACGCCGCGUGAGUGAAGAAGGGUUUCGGCUCGUAAAACUCUGUUGUUAAAGAAGAACAUAUCUGAGAGUAACUGUUCAGGUAUUGACGGUAUUUAACCAGAAAGCCACGGCUAACUACGUGCCAGCAGCCGCGGUAAUACGUAGGUGGCAAGCGUUGUCCGGAUUUAUUGGGCGUAAAGCGAGCGCAGGCGGUUUUUUAAGUCUGAUGUGAAAGCCUUCGGCUCAACCGAAGAAGUGCAUCGGAAACUGGGGAACUUGAGUGCAGAAGAGGACAGUGGAACUCCAUGUGUAGCGGUGAAAUGCGUAGAUAUAUGGAAGAACACCAGUGGCGAAGGCGGCUGUCUGGUCUGUAACUGACGCUGAGGCUCGAAAGUAUGGGUAGCAAACAGGAUUAGAUACCCUGGUAGUCCAUACCGUAAACGAUGAAUGCUAAGUGUUGGAGGGUUUCCGCCCUUCAGUGCUGCAGCUAACGCAUUAAGCAUUCCGCCUGGGGAGUACGGCCGCAAGGCUGAAACUCAAAGGAAUUGACGGGGGCCCGCACAAGCGGUGGAGCAUGUGGUUUAAUUCGAAGCUACGCGAAGAACCUUACCAGGUCUUGACAUACUAUGCAAAUCUAAGAGAUUAGACGUUCCCUUCGGGGACAUGGAUACAGGUGGUGCAUGGUUGCCGUCAGCUCGUGUCGUGAGAUGUUGGGUUAAGUCCCGCAACGAGCGCAACCCUUAUUAUCAGUUGCCAGCAUUAAGUUGGGCACUCUGGUGAGACUGCCGGUGACAAACCGGAGGAAGGUGGGGAUGACGUCAAAUCAUCAUGCCCCUUAUGACCUGGGCUACACACGUGCUACAAUGGAUGGUACAACGAGUUGCGAACUCGCGAGAGUAAGCUAAUCUCUUAAAGCCAUUCUCAGUUCGGAUUGUAGGCUGCAACUCGCCUACAUGAAGUCGGAAUCGCUAGUAAUCGCGGAUCAGCAUGCCGCGGUGAAUACGUUCCCGGGCCUUGUACACACCGCCCGUCACACCAUGAGAGUUUGUAACACCCAAAGUCGGUGGGGUAACCUUUUAGGAACCAGCCGCCUAAGGUGGGACAGAUGAUUAGGGUG